GAUGAACGCUGGCGGCGUGCCUAAUACAUGCAAGUCGAGCGAACAGAUAAGGAGCUUGCUCCUUUGACGUUAGCGGCGGACGGGUGAGUAACACGUGGGUAACCUACCUAUAAGACUGGGAUAACUUCGGGAAACCGGAGCUAAUACCGGAUAACAUUUGGAACCGCAUGGUUCUAAAGUGAAAGAUGGUUUUGCUAUCACUUAUAGAUGGACCCGCGCCGUAUUAGCUAGUUGGUAAGGUAACGGCUUACCAAGGCGACGAUACGUAGCCGACCUGAGAGGGUGAUCGGCCACACUGGAACUGAGACACGGUCCAGACUCCUACGGGAGGCAGCAGUAGGGAAUCUUCCGCAAUGGGCGAAAGCCUGACGGAGCAACGCCGCGUGAGUGAUGAAGGGGUUCGGCUCGUAAAACUCUGUUAUUAGGGAAGAACAAAUGUGUAAGUAACUGUGCACGUCCUGACGGUACCUAAUCAGAAAGCCACGGCUAACUACGUG
rnacentral:rRNA from 1 species